AAAGCUCUUACUCACUAUACACCUACGGAAUAAAACUUUGUUUUCUUGCAUUUAAUCAUUUCUUGCUUAAUACUUGCUUCAAAAAACAAAACCCUAAAAGGGAUUGAUUCGCCGCCAGAAUUUCUUCUCUCCUCUCCCCAUUUAACCUUCAUCACCUCUCUCAUUAGCUCACAGUUUUCUUCACCUGUUCUAUGUUGAGAAAAAAGAACUUUCUUGGAGUUUAAUUAGUCAAAUGUUCUAUUUUUAUCAGCAUAAAAGGGUCCAAUUUUCAGCUUGUACAUGUGGGGUUUUGUAGUUCUAAGGUUUAUAUGAUAAAGUUUUGGUUCUUUUGCCUUUCUUGGGUUGCUAGGUUUUGUGGGUACUGAUUAUAUUUUUUGUUGUAGAAUUGAGUAUAUAUUUGGUCUUUGAUCAUGGAGCUUUCUUGGUGCUAUUUUAUUUGAUCAAAGAUUGGAUUUUUGUGAGCUGAAAGCUUUGAUUUACAUGUGGGGUUUUGUAGUUUUAAGGUUUAUGUGAAUCUUUUUUAAAAAAAACCUUUCUUGAGUUGCUAGGUCUUGUGCGUAUUGAUUAUACUUGUUGUGGAAGGAGUAUAAUCAAUUAUUGUUCUUUGAUCAUGGAGCUUUCUUGGAAUUAUAUUUGAUCAACGAUUGGAUUUUUAUGAGCUUAAAGCUUUGAUUUUGAGGUUGUGCGCGUGGGGUUUUGUAGUUUUUAAGGUUUAUAUAUCUAUGCAAAAGUUUUGGUUUUGAAUAACUUUCUUGGGUUGUUAAGGCUUGUGGGUAUUGAUUAUAUUUGUUGUGGAAUGAGUGAGUGAAGAUGGUAUCUGAAUUGAGUAGGAGACCAAUGAUUGGAAACAAUGAAGAUUCAUUUGGAGAUGAGUUCGAGAAAGAGAUUGGGAUGUUACUUCAUGAUCAGCGAAGACAAGAAGCUGACGAUCGCGAAAAGGAGCUGAAUAUGUAUAGAAGUGGCUCAGCUCCACCUACUGUUGAGGGUUCAUUGAGUGCAGUAGGUGAUGAUCGGGAACAAUGAAAAUUCAUUUGGAGAUGAGUUUGAGAAAGAGAUUGGGAUGUUACUUCAUGAUCAGCGAAGACAAGAAGCUGACGAUCGCGAAAAGGAGCUGAAUAUGUAUAGAAGUGGCUCAGCUCCAC
rnacentral:lncRNA from 1 species